rnacentral:rRNA from 1 species
AGCGACACUAUGUGUUGUUGGGUAGGGGAGCGUUCUGUAAGCCUGUGAAGGUGUACUGUGAGGUAUGCUGGAGGUAUCAGAAGUGCGAAUGCUGACAUAAGUAACGAUAAAGCGGGUGAAAAGCCCGCUCGCCGGAAGACCAAGGGUUCCUGUCCAACGUUAAUCGGGGCAGGGUGAGUCGACCCCUAAGGCGAGGCCGAAAGGCGUAGUCGAUGGGAAACAGGUUAAUAUUCCUGUACUUGGUGUUACUGCGAAGGGGGGACGGAGAAGGCUAUGUUGGCCGGGCGACGGUUGUCCCGGUUUAAGCGUGUAGGCUGGUUUUCCAGGCAAAUCCGGAAAAUCAAGGCUGAGGCGUGAUGACGAGGCACUACGGUGCUGAAGCAACAAAUGCCCUGCUUCCAGGAAAAGCCUCUAAGCAUCAGGUAACAUCAAAUCGUACCCCAAACCGACACAGGUGGUCAGGUAGAGAAUACCAAGGCGCUUGAGAGAACUCGGGUGAAGGAACUAGGCAAAAUGGUGCCGUAACUUCGGGAGAAGGCACGCUGAUAUGUAGGUGAAGUCCCUCGCGGAUGGAGCUGAAAUCAGUCGAAGAUACCAGCUGGCUGCAACUGUUUAUUAAAAACACAGCACUGUGCAAACACGAAAGUGGACGUAUACGGUGUGACGCCUGCCCGGUGCCGGAAGGUUAAUUGAUGGGGUCAGCGCAAGCGAAGCUCUUGAUCGAAGCCCCGGUAAACGGCGGCCGUAACUAUAACGGUCCUAAGGUAGCGAAAUUCCUUGUCGGGUAAGUUCCGACCUGCACGAAUGGCGUAAUGAUGGCCAGGCUGUCUCCACCCGAGACUCAGUGAAAUUGAACUCGCUGUGAAGAUGCAGUGUACCCGCGGCAAGACGGAAAGACCCCGUGAACCUUUACUAUAGCUUGACACUGAACAUUGAGCCUUGAUGUGUAGGAUAGGUGGGAGGCUUUGAAGUGUGGACGCCAGUCUGCAUGGAGCCGACCUUGAAAUACCACCCUUUAAUGUUUGAUGUUCUAACGUUGACCCGUGAUCCGGGUUGCGGACAGUGUCUGGUGGGUAGUUUGACUGGGGCGGUCUCCUCCUAAAGAGUAACGGAGGAGCACGAAGGUUGGCUAAUCCUGGUCGGACAUCAGGAGGUUAGUGCAAUGGCAUAAGCCAGCUUGACUGCGAGCGUGACGGCGCGAGCAGGUGCGAAAGCAGGUCAUAGUGAUCCGGUGGUUCUGAAUGGAAGGGCCAUCGCUCAACGGAUAAAAGGUACUCCGGGGAUAACAGGCUGAUACCGCCCAAGAGUUCAUAUCGACGGCGGUGUUUGGCACCUCGAUGUCGGCUCAUCACAUCCUGGGGCUGAAGUAGGUCCCAAGGGUAUGGCUGUUCGCCAUUUAAAGUGGUACGCGAGCUGGGUUUAGAACGUCGUGAGACAGUUCGGUCCCUAUCUGCCGUGGGCGCUGGAGAACUGAGGGGGGCUGCUCCUAGUACGAGAGGACCGGAGUGGACGCAUCACUGGUGUUCGGGUUGUCAUGCCAAUGGCACUGCCCGGUAGCUAAAUGCGGAAGAGAUAAGUGCUGAAAGCAUCUAAGCACGAAACUUGCCCCGAGAUGAGUUCUCCCUGACCCUUUAAGGGUCCUGAAGGAACGUUGAAGACGACGACGUUGAUAGGCCG